rnacentral:rRNA from 2 species
UUUUAGGUGCUUGCUCUUGACUGAUUUGACAUUGAGACGAGUGGCAAACUGGUGAGUAACACGUGGGUGACCUGCCCUUGAAGUAGAGGAUAACACUUGGAAACAGGUGCUAAUACUGCAUAACAGCGAAAACCGCCUGGUUUUCGUUUGAAAGAUGGCUUCGGCUAUCGCUUUAGGAUGGACCCGCGGCGUAUUAGCUAGUUGGUGAGGUAACGGCUCACCAAGGCAAUGAUACGUAGCCGACCUGAGAGGGUAAUGGCCACAUUGGGACUGAGACACGGCCCAAACUCCUACGGGAGGCAGCAGUAGGGAAUCUUCCACAAAGGACGAAAGUCUGAUGGAGCAACGCCGCGUGAGUGAUGAAGGGUUUCGGCUCGUAAAACUCUGUUGUUGGAGAAGAACGGGUGUCAGAGUAACUGUUGACAUCGUGACGGUAUCCAACCAGAAAGCCACGGCUAACUACGUGCCAGCAGCCGCGGUAAUACGUAGGUGGCAAGCGUUGUCCGGAUUUAUUGGGCGUAAAGCGAGCGCAGGCGGUUUUUUAGGUCUGAUGUGAAAGCCUUCGGCUUAACCGGAGAAGUGCAUCGGAAACCGGGAGACUUGAGUGCAGAAGAGGACAGUGGAACUCCAUGUGUAGCGGUGAAAUGCGUAGAUAUAUGGAAGAACACCAGUGGCGAAGGCGGCUGUCUGGUCUGCAACUGACGCUGAGGCUCGAAAGCAUGGGUAGCGAACAGGAUUAGAUACCCUGGUAGUCCAUGCCGUAAACGAUGAGUGCUAAGUGUUGGAGGGUUUCCGCCCUUCAGUGCUGCAGCUAACGCAUUAAGCACUCCGCCUGGGGAGUACGACCGCAAGGUUGAAACUCAAAGGAAUUGACGGGGGCCCGCACAAGCGGUGGAGCAUGUGGUUUAAUUCGAUGCUACGCGAAGAACCUUACCAGGUCUUGACAUCUUCUGCCAACCUAAGAGAUUAGGCGUUCCCUUCGGGGACAGAAUGACAGGUGGUGCAUGGUUGUCGUCAGCUCGUGUCGUGAGAUGUUGGGUUAAGUCCCGCAACGAGCGCAACCCUUAUUGUUAGUUGCCAGCAUUUAGUUGGGCACUCUAGCAAGACUGCCGGUGACAAACCGGAGGAAGGUGGGGAUGACGUCAAAUCAUCAUGCCCCUUAUGACCUGGGCUACACACGUGCUACAAUGGACGGUACAACGAGUCGCGAAACCGCGAGGUCA